AGAACGAACGCUGGCGGCAGGCCUAACACAUGCAAGUCGAGCGCUCCGCAAGGAGAGCGGCGCACGGGAGAGUAACACGUGGGAACCUACCUUUUGGUUCGGAAUAACGUCGGGAAACUGACGCUAAUACCGGAUAAGCCCUUCGGGGGAAAGAUUUAUUGCCGAAAGAUGGGCCCGCGUUGGAUUAGCUAGUUGGUGAGGUAAUGGCUCACCAAGGCAACGAUCCAUAGCUGGUCUGAGAGGAUGAUCAGCCUCACUGGGACUGAGACACGGCCCAGACUCCUACGGGAGGCAGCAGUGGGGAAUAUUGGACAAUGGGGGCAACCCUGAUCCAGCCAUGCCGCGUGAAUGAUGAAGGCCUUCGGGUUGUAAAGUUCUUUUGGCGGGUACGAUGAUGACGGUACCGCAGAAUAAGCUCCGGCUAACUUCGCGCCAGCAGCCGC
rnacentral:rRNA from 1 species